ACCGCUUCUCGGCCUUUUGGCUAAGAUCAAAGUGUAGUAUCUGUUCUUUCCAUUAGGUUUAAGCUUCAUUAUGGAGGAUACUCAGUUCAAUCCUAUGGAAAGAACUGUCAAGGUUUUUUGCAGGGUCCUCGUUCAUCGGUGAAUUCGUAGGGUAGACGGGAGUUACUCCGCUUUUUACGCAAGAUUG